rnacentral:rRNA from 1 species
UACAGAGGUCCCAAGCGUUGUUCGGAUUCAUUGGGCGUAAAGGGUGCGUAGGCGGCGCGGUAAGUCGGGUGUGAAAUCUCGGAGCUUAACUCCGAAACUGCAUUCGAUACUGCCGUGCUUGAGGACUGGAGAGGAGACUGGAAUUUACGGUGUAGCGGUGAAAUGCGCAGAUAUCAGGAGGAACACCGGUGGCGAAGGCGGUUCUCUGGGCAUUACCUGACGCUGAGGAGCGAAAGCGUGGGGAGCGAACGGG